rnacentral:rRNA from 1 species
UACGUAGGGUGCGAGCGUUAUUCGGAAUUACUGGGCGUAAAGCGUGCGUAGGCGGCGCGUUAAGUCAGGUGUGAAAGCCCCGAGCUUAACUUGGGAAUUGCGCUUGUGACUGGCGUGCUGGAGUGUGGCAGAGGGAGGUGGAAUUCCACGUGUAGCAGUGAAAUGCGUAGAGAUGUGGAGGAACACCGAUGGCGAAGGCAGCCUCCUGGGCCAGCACUGACGCUCAUGCACGAAAGCGUGGGGAGCAAACAGG